AUGAAGUCGGAAUUGCUAGUAAUCGCGGAUCAGCAUGCCGCGGUGAAUACGUUCCCGGGCCUUGUACACACCGCCCGUCACACCAUGGGAGCCGGUAAUACCCGAAGUCAGUAGUCCAACCUCGUGAGGACGCUGCCGAAGGUAGGAUUGGCGACUGGGGUGGAAGUCGUAACAAGGUAUC
rnacentral:rRNA from 1 species